rnacentral:rRNA from 1 species
AACGAACGCUGGCGGCAGGCUUAACACAUGCAAGUCGAACGCCCCGCAAGGGGAGUGGCAGACGGGUGAGUAACACGUGGGAACGUACCCUUUGGUUCGGAAUAACUUGGGGAAACUCAAGCUAAUACCGGAUACGAGCGCAAGCUGAAAGGUUUACCGCCGAAGGAUCGGCCCGCGUCUGAUUAGCUAGUUGGUGAGGUAACGGCUCACCAAGGCGACGAUCAGUAGCUGGUCUGAGAGGAUGAUCAGCCACAUUGGGACUGAGACACGGCCCAAACUCCUACGGGAGGCAGCAGUGGGGAAUAUUGGACAAUGGGCGCAAGCCUGAUCCAGCCAUGCCGCGUGAGUGAUGACGGCCCUAGGGUUGUAAAGCUCUUUUACCUGGGAAGAUAAUGACGGUACCAGGAGAAUAAGCCCCGGCUAACUUCGUGCCAGCCGCCGCCGUAAUAC